ACCAAAUGGCCAAGUGGUUAAGGCAUGGGACUUGAGCUCCAAUGAACAAAUGUCUUUGUGGGUUCAAACCCCACUCCUGGUA
rnacentral:tRNA from 1 species